GAUGAACGCUGGCGGCGUGCCUAAUACAUGCAAGUCGAGCGAACAGACAAGGAGCUUGCUCCUUUGACGUUAGCGGCGGACGGGUGAGUAACACGUGGGUAACCUACCUAUAAGACUGGGAUAACUUCGGGAAACCGGAGCUAAUACCGGAUAAUAUUUCGAACCGCAUGGUUCGAUAGUGAAAGAUGGUUUUGCUAUCACUUAUAGAUGGACCCGCGCCGUAUUAGCUAGUUGGUAAGGUAACGGCUUACCAAGGCGACGAUACGUAGCCGACCUGAGAGGGUGAUCGGCCACACUGGAACUGAGACACGGUCCAGACUCCUACGGGAGGCAGCAGUAGGGAAUCUUCCGCAAUGGGCGAAAGCCUGACGGAGCAACGCCGCGUGAGUGAUGAAGGUCUUCGGAUCGUAAAACUCUGUUAUUAGGGAAGAACAUACGUGUAAGUAACUAUGCACGUCUUGACGGUACCUAAUCAGAAAGCCACGGCUAACUACGUGCCAGCAGCCGCGGUAAUACGUAGGUGGCAAGCGUUACCCGGAAUUAUUGGGCGUAAAGCGCGCGUAGGCGGUUUUUUAAGUCUGAUGUGAAAGCCCACGGCUCAACCGUGGAGGGUCAUUGGAAACUGGAAAACUUGAGUGCAGAAGAGGAAAGUGGAAUUCCAUGUGUAGCGGUGAAAUGCGCAGAGAUAUGGAGGAACACCAGUGGCGAAGGCGACUUUCUGGUCUGUAACUGACGCUGACGUGCGAAAGCGUGGGGAUCAAACAGGAUUAGAUACCCUGGUAGUCCACGCCGUAAACGAUGAGUGCUAAGUGUUAGGGGGUUUCCGCCCCUUAGUGCUGCAGCUAACGCAUUAAGCACUCCGCCUGGGGAGUACGACCGCAAGGUUGAAACUCAAAGGAAUUGACGGGGACCCGCACAAGCGGUGGAGCAUGUGGUUUAAUUCGAAGCAACGCGAAGAACCUUACCAAAUCUUGACAUCCUUUGACAACUCUAGAGAUAGAGCCUUCCCCUUCGGGGGACAAAGUGACAGGUGGUGCAUGGUUGUCGUCAGCUCGUGUCGUGAGAUGUUGGGUUAAGUCCCGCAACGAGCGCAACCCUUAAGCUUAGUUGCCAUCAUUAAGUUGGGCACUCUAAGUUGACUGCCGGUGACAAACCGGAGGAAGGUGGGGAUGACGUCAAAUCAUCAUGCCCCUUAUGAUUUGGGCUACACACGUGCUACAAUGGACAAUACAAAGGGCAGCGAAACCGCGAGGUCAAGCAAAUCCCAUAAAGUUGUUCUCAGUUCGGAUUGUAGUCUGCAACUCGACUACAUGAAGCUGGAAUCGCUAGUAAUCGUAGAUCAGCAUGCUACGGUGAAUACGUUCCCGGGUCU
rnacentral:rRNA from 1 species